AGAAAGACCUUAAACCUCAAAGGAAACGAAUGGCCCUACAUAACCGCAGCAUUAAGGCACCGGGAGGGGGGCACGUCGGAGCUCUCCCAAAUAGUCGAGCGCAUCAGGGCAAUCACUGGGGAAAGCUCAUACACUGGCACAUGCGCACAUGCUCCGACGGCGACAGAGAACGUUUUAAAAAAUAUACAUGUUCUCUUUCGCUUUAUUUUUAAAUGUUUUACAUCGUAUAGCAGUAACAUCGAAAACGGUUAAAUUGGCUUGCGAAACCACCACGACUGGAUCACGAAACGCUGGAAGCUGCGUUGCAGCCGCCCUCCACCCAGAGAUAACGACCGAGGAAGGGACCUGGCAGAAAAGUCUGCUUCUUCAGUCAUGAAAUUAGAGGAAAAACAACGUGAUGAAGGGGUCAGGACUGACGAACAAGGAAGACAGUUGGAUGGAUCAAGAUAACCAAGAGGAUCAACAAGGACAUUCCACAAAUGCAGAGUGGAGAUAAGGAAAAGAGUGA